rfam:Streptomyces mobaraensis NBRC 13819 = DSM 40847 contig157, whole genome shotgun sequence.
CUUGACGGAGCCGAGCCAGAGGGGCUGGUCGGCGGGGCGGUUGCGGCCGUAGGUGGCGAGGAGGGCCUGGGCCUC